GAGGGGCGUCUUCUCUUCCCGCGUCCGGAACCCCGCGUCCCGAGUUCCCCGUGGUUCUCUCGCACCCAUCGCUCGGCGGCUUUACGCCACAGGUAUUUUAUUUUUAUUAGGAAGCAUGAGUCGGACCUUGUUUCAACAAGCAGAGUAUGUCUGAGUCAGACAUUUUGAGGCACAGACUCAGCCAGAGUGCUGAUCUUAUGAUUGAUGCGAUGACUUCAUUGGGCAAACUGGACUGCUGAUAUAUUCUUGAAGUGUUUUCAAGUGGAUCGAGCUGCCGCUGCUAACCUGUGAACUGAACUGCCAAUUUCCAGACAACACAAACAGGAGUUGCUCCAAAGAACCUUUCUAAACAGGUUUUUAGGGCUGGUGAGAUGGCUCAGUGGGUAAGAGCACCCAACUGCUCUUCUGAAGGUCCGAAGUUCAAAUCCCAGCAACCACAUGGUGGCUCACAACCAUCUGUAACAAGAUCUGACGCCCUCUUCUGGAGUGUCUGAAGACAGCUACAGUGUACUUACAUAUAAUAAAAAUAAAUAAAUCUUAAAAAAAAA
rnacentral:lncRNA from 1 species